rnacentral:rRNA from 1 species
UACGAAGGGUGCAAGCGUUACUCGGAAUUACUGGGCGUAAAGGGUGCGUAGGUGGUUUGUUAAGUCUGCUGUGAAAUCCCCGGGCUCAACCUGGGAAUGGCAGUGGAUACUGGCAAGCUAGAGUGCGGUAGAGGGUAGUGGAAUUCCCGGUGUAGCAGUGAAAUGCGUAGAGAUCGGGAGGAACACCAGUGGCGAAGGCGGCUACCUGGACCAGCACUGAUACUGAAGCACGAAAGCGUGGGGAGCAAACAGG